GAUGAACGCUGGCCGAAUGCUUAACACAUGCAAGUCUACUUGAACUUCGGUUUGGGUGGCGGACGGGUGAGUAACGCGUAAAGAACUUGCCUCACAGUUAGGGACAACAUUUGGAAACGAAUGCUAAUACCUGAUAUUAUGAUUUUAGGGCAUCCUAGGAUUAUGAAAGCUAUAUGUGCUGUGAGAGAGCUUUGCGUCCCAUUAGCUAGUUGGAGAGGUAACGGCUCACCAAGGCGAUGAUGGGUAGCCGGCCUGAGAGGGUGAACGGCCACAAGGGGACUGAGACACGGCCCUUACUCCUACGGGAGGCAGCAGUGGGGAAUAUUGGACAAGGGACCAAAAGUCUGAUCCAGCAAUUCUGUGUGCACGAUGACGUUUUUCGGAAUGUAAAGUGCUUUCAGUUGGGAAGAAAAAAAUGACGGUACCAACAGAAGAAGAGACGGCUAAAUACGUG
rnacentral:rRNA from 1 species